GUUACAGUUACAAAGGAGAAAUAAAAAGGAAUGGAAAGCUUGAACUUGCCAGGAGGUCAAAUCUCCUAGGAAAUGAAAGUAUUAGAUUGAUGAUGAAUGCCCUAAGAAGUCAUCUCAUCACUCCUGCCUUCAGAAGAUGAUAUUACAAAAUAUCUGUUGCAUAAAGAAGAUACUGAAGAGCAUUAAGCCAAAACAAGUAGAAGAAAAGUAUGAUAAUAGGGUGAAAGGAGAAAUGAAAGGUUUGGAACAGGAGAUUGACGAAAGCAGAGAAAUGGUGCAUGGGAGGAGCUGAUGGAAGACAGACACUGAAGGAACAAGUACAACUUCCUGCCUGCUGCAGAAGCAGAAGCUGCCCCUGAGAAUGAAUAAAUGUCACACAGAAGAGUAUUCUAAAAAGUAUCAUCAUAAACUCACUUUACGAGAGAGGAAGCCCUAAUGACAGCUAAACAUUGUCAAUACCACUCCGUGUGCACUUCCAGUUUCCCAACGUUUGCCGAAAGAUCAAGAAGAUGCUGAUAAUGUUGCUGAGCCUGGUACACAGUACACCCUCUGGGUGCUGUUUGGCUGAAGGGGACACUUUAAAUCUGUGAGGCUGACUCCUGUUAAUUUCAAAGAUGGACAGGAUAUUUGCUUGGGUUUGGAUGGUCAGUAGCAGCAGCGGGAUGGGCCUGGGCCCUUCGAGGAGCUCACAGUCACCAAACUGAAGCGGUAGGUGAA